rnacentral:rRNA from 1 species
UCGUUCGCCAAUCGCAUUUCCAAACAACUAACAACUCAGAAUGCUGGGCAAUAGGACGUUUAAAGUGGCUCCUUACACCUUACAAAGGAAUGGCUGAUGAGAAACAACUCGAUCCGCUCAGCGUUCUAUUGGAAUGCAACGGACGUGAUUGCAAGCUUUUGUUUUGAGUUGCGGUUUUACUGAAAGACUCUACAAUCCGCAAACUUCAAUGAUCUGAAGUAGAAAACCUACAUGCUACAGUGAGAUAUUGUGGAUAAACUUAAGCGACCGCUCCAACAUUGUGUUUUUUUAAAACUGAUGAAGGUUGCGGCAAUAACAGGUCUGUGAUGCCCUUCGAUGUCCUGGGCUGCACACGUGCUACAAUGGCUAGCGCAGUGAGCAUAUUUCAACCGAAACAUCGGUUGGCUGUUCUGAUUGACCCCUUCUGGGUCUCUCUGUAACACUACCGAUGAUCCCUCCUCUGAAAAGAGAGGGUAAGCCGUUCGAAAUUCUGGUAACGAUUCCCCGUAGUUAAGCAAACUUAAACCAUAGUGGUGUCAAACGGGUCCGCUUCCAUCGGAAAAGAUUCCUCCGGAAAAAGGCUUAUGCAGGCAUUUCACGUAUGCUCCUAUAAAUUCCUGGUAGGGAUAGUCUAUUGUAACUGGUAGACUUGUCAACUAGGAAUGC